rnacentral:rRNA from 1 species
AUUGAACGCUGGCGGCAUGCCUUACACAUGCAAGUCGAACGGCAGCACGGGUGCUUGCACCUGGUGGCGAGUGGCGAACGGGUGAGUAAUAUAUCGGAACGUACCUUAUUGUGGGGGAUAACGCAGCGAAAGCUGUGCUAAUACCGCAUAAUCCCUAAGGGGGAAAGCGGGGGACCGUAAGGCCUCGCGCAAUUAGAGCGGCCGAUACCUGAUUAGCUAGUUGGUGAGGUAAAGGUUCACUAAGGCAACGAUCAGUAGCUGGUCUGAGAGGACGAUCAGCCACACUGGGACUGAGACACGGCCCAGACUCCUACGGGAGGCAGCAGUGGGGAAUUUUGGACAAUGGGGGCAACCCUGAUCCAGCAAUGCCGCGUGAGUGAAGAAGGCCUUCGGGUUGUAAAGCUCUUUUGUCAGGGAAGAAACAGCAGCUCUAACACAGUUUGCGAAUGACGGUACCUGAAGAAUAAGCACCGGCUAACUACGUGCCAGCAGCCGCGGUAA